rnacentral:rRNA from 1 species
UGUGUGGCAACAUGCAAUGCAUUUAUUAGACAACAACCAAUAUGUAUGUAUUGUAUAGUAGUGAUGCUGUGCGGUAUGUACGUGUAGUUGAAUCUGGAUAACUUUGCUGAUCGUAUGGCCUUGUGCUGACGACGUUUCAAUUGAAUUUCUGCCCUAUCAACUAGUUGGUAAGGUAGUGGCCUACCAAGGUUGCAACGGGUAACGGGGAAUCAGGGUUCGAUUCCGGAGAGGGAGCCUGAGAAACGGCUACCACAUCCAAGGGAGGCAACAGGCGCGCAAAUUACCCAAUCCAGACACUGGGAGGUGGUGACGAGAAAUACUGGAUCGUUUGUGACAAACAUGCGAUACCGGAAUGAACAUAAUUUAAGACUGUUGUCGAGAAACAAUUAGAGGGCAAGUCUGGUGCCAGCAGCCGCGGUAAUUCCAGCUCUAAUAGUGUCGUGUGACGUUGCUGCGGUUAAAACGCACGUAGUUGGAUUACGCAGUGUAAGCACGGUACUCUGUGUGUAGUGACAUUACAACUUCUUUGUGUGUACGUGCAUUGGAUAACGGAUGUAUGAUGCAAAUCUGCAUUACGACUUUUGUAUAAUACUGCAUUGAGGUGUUGCAAUGCAUAGAUUAUAGCCGUCUUAUGCUACAUGUAUCGUGAAUGUGAUAUAUAGCCUUAAUUGGUCGUGUGUUGUGUUUGCGGAGUGUGCCUUGAAUAAAUCAAAGUGCUUAAAGCAGGCGUGUUGCUUGAAUGUUAAUAGCAUGGAACGAACAAUUGUGAAUGCACAAGUGCAGUGUAAUGUAUUGAACUUUGUUUAUGCAUAUGAUUGAGCUUGUGUAGCACCAACCAUUGAUACGGAUGUUGGUUUCCGUAUUGAGGUGAAUAUUAAAACGAGCGGUUGGGGGCAUUAGUAUUUGGUG